rnacentral:lncRNA from 1 species
CCCAGGUCCACCCCCAGAUCUCUUGCUUGAGUUUUUUUGGCCAGUUCUACUGGUAGACUUACCUCUCUGUUUUUCUCACUUCUAAUUAGAUUCACCGACUGCAAGAAAUCAUGUGGGUCUUUUGAGUAGUGAGGAAAUUCAAAACUUCUUAUUAAUUCUUUAUGUUAUUCCAUACAACUCACUUUGGAGACUUUUGAGGCUGCAAGACUCAUUCUGUUACUGUCUGGAAAAGAGCACAUUGUCAUGGUUCUUUCAGUUAGAAUAUGAAAGCAAAGCAGCCUUUGUUGGGUCAUAGAUGUGAUCAUGACUGCUGCAUGGAUUCCAGCCACUGUCAAGCGUGUUCUAGGAAAUUGAGGCAGUUCUGCUCAGAAGCUUCCAUCUUUGCACCUUAAGUCCAAAAGCAACUCUUAAUGUGAGGCCUUGUGAAAUCUCAUAUAGCUUAGCAUCAUCAUGUCCCUGAGCCUAUCCAUUCUUGAAAUGUCUCUGGGAUAUAGUCUAACCACUACUGAAAGUCUUUUUUCUGGACCAUUAUGUCUCAUAAAUAUUAUGUCUCACAAAUUUCUGAUGGCAGUUAGCUCAUAUCAGAGGUUCUAAAGACUGCUGAACAGUACCACUUGGCAUCAGGGAUACCACGUGUGUCCACAUCUGUAGUGGAAGUGGAGUCAGCCAUACCCAACCAUAUCAAAUGGGUUCUCCAAAGGAAAGCAGAUUUUGUUACCAGAAAGAGGAAAAAUUGCUGAGCGACCCCCAACAGAGAUACCCUUCCACCAUGAUUUGUUCAGAAGGCAAAUUAGCCCCAUAUGGCUCUCUACAGUUAUAUAUAUGUUCCGCUGGUUUUGGCUGAGACUUUUACUGAAUUGUAAAUAAAUGACCCCACUGGUACAUGGGAGAAGUAUUUCACAUUACACGGUCUUUCAAUCAUAUGGCAUGACGGCAGUGUGGCAAGAUGCUGUGCAUUAUCUCCAGAAUGCUGGGAGUAAAAAGGUCAACAACCGUCUCCGAGCUGACUCGGGGCCGAUCCAGCGCAUUACUGUGUAUCUGUGGGGCAGGCAGGCAAAGCAGAGGAUGCCAAGAAUGCCCACGGAUUAGUUUAAAAAAACCUAAAAACAGCAAAACCUGACUGUGGAAACAGUUCCAUCCUCAUAUACCAUAAAACGAUUUAUAAAGCAAAACAUGGCUCCACAGAUACCACCUUCCUCCUGGUUUAAUCAUUUCCCCCGCCCCGGUUCCCAUUCCCAGUGUGGUUGGCAGUGAUGUUAGAGACGGGAGAGGAUAAAAAGCCACAGAAAAUAGGCUGGAGGAGAAGAAUUCAAACCAUAAGUCAUCACCUUGCCAGGAAUGGACGAGACUCUGGAGUCUCUGAAUUGUCUUGGAUGCUGGUGAAGAUACUACACCAUGUGGGAAGAGGAGGCAAUCAAAUUCAGCUGAGUCGUCAGGUUGUGUGGACUUCCUUUUCUGCCCUCCCAUCUCUGAGAACCAGCCUCAAAAUAUGAGUAACCUGUGCCACAGCCUAUGGCGGGC